rnacentral:rRNA from 1 species
AAAUUUGAAAUCUGGCGCAAGCCCGAGUUGUAAUUUGUAGAGGAUGCUUCUGGCCAGCGGCCGUUCUAAGUUCCUUGGAACAGGACGUCAUAGAGGGUGAGAAUCCCGUAUGUGACCGGCGCGCAGCCUUUACGUAGCUCCUUCGACGAGUCGAGUUGUUUGGGAAUGCAGCUCUAAAUGGGAGGUAAAUUUCUUCUAAAGCUAAAUACCGGCCAGAGACCGAUAGCGCACAAGUAGAGUGAUCGAAAGAUGAAAAGCACUUUGGAAAGAGAGUUAAAAAGCACGUGAAAUUGUUGAAAGGGAAGCGCUUGCAACCAGACUUCGUAGCGAUGUUCCGCCGGUCUUCUGACCGGUCUACUCAUCGUCGCGAGGCCAACAUCGUCUGGGACCGCUGGAUAAGACCUAAGGAAUGUAGCUUCCCUCGGGAAGUGUUAUAGCCUGUGGUGAUGCGGCGUGUCUCGGGCGAGGUCCGCGCUUCGGCAAGGAUGUUGGCGUAAUGGUUGUCAGCGGCCCGUCUUGAAACACGGACCAAGGAGUCUAACAUCUAUGCGAGUGUUCGGGUGUCAAACCCCUACGCGUAAUGAAAGUGAACGGAGGUGGGAAGCGCAAGCUGCACCAUCGACCGAUCCUGAUGUCCUCGGAUGGAUUUGAGUAAGAGCAUAGCUGUUGGGACCCGAAAGAUGGUGAACUAUGCCUGAAUAGGGUGAAGCCAGAGGAAACUCUGG